rnacentral:misc_RNA from 1 species
UUUCGGAAAGCCGGUGACACGGUCGAUUCCAUCCAACGCAACGGCUGAGGAGAGACCGGGAGCAAUCAGCAAGGCCAGCCCGAGGCCUGCCUCCCGAAUUCUUCUUGUCAGGACUCGGACUGUGAGGUGCCGAGUCAUUUGAGAUCAGCGAGUGAUGCAGGCCCAGGUCCCGGCGUAAUCAAUGUUGGCCACUGGCGUGAACCAAAAGGGACAACCGGCGGCAGGAAAGGUGUCAUUCCCCGUUUGCCGCUCUCCGCGAUGAUCGCGGCGCGCGCGUCGCCCCCCAUCAGUUCGUAAUCCAUCAGAUGAUAGUUUCCGAAG